rnacentral:rRNA from 1 species
GCCUGGACUUAAACAAAAACUGCCAAAAAAAUACAAACAAAAUUUCAAACUUAAAAGACCUGGCGGUGCCAAAACCAACCUAGAGGAGCCUGUUACAUAAUCGAUAAUCCACGAUAAACCCCACCUACUCUAGUACCCAUCAGCCUAUAUACCGCCGUCGACAGCCCAUUUUCUAAGAAAUGAAGCAAACAUAGGCCAGCCCCCUAAUACGACAGGUCAAGGCGUAGCUAAUGAGAAGGAUAAUAAUGAGCUACAUUACUAAACACGAACAAAAACUACCCUGAAACAAGUAGAUCAAGAAGGAUUUAGCAGUAAGAAGAAUAAGAGCGUCCCUCUGAACUAAGCACUUAGGCACGC